rnacentral:rRNA from 1 species
GAGGAGAGAGCUCGGUCUCGGUUCUGCCGUGUACUGAGCGCCUCGAAUCUUUUUUCUGGGGAAACAGGGUGUCCUUUACUGGGUGCUCUGGGGAACCAGGACGAUUACCUUGAGAAAAAUAGAGUGUUCAAAGCAGGCGAUUGCUUGAAUACGUUAGCAUGGAAUAAUGGAAUAGGGCUGCUGCCCCAUUUUGUUGGUUUCUGGGACCGUAGCA